UGGAAAUCAACCAACUAUUGCUUUGAACUGGAUUAUAAUUACCGAAGCGGGUCGAAGUGGGACGAUGUGGUUCGGUGGUCAACUGCGGCUGCGCAGGAUGCAGUAUGGUAUGGCUUGAGCAUCUCGAGGAGGGGCUCUCUCCGCAAGGCAUCCUCUACGCCACGGCGGAGGUGUUCGAGUAGUCUGUCUCGGGGCUGCACGUGGAGCACGUCGACAUCUCCGUCUUGCCAUUGCUCAGCACCGCCCUGCCGGCUGGGGUUCUUAUUUUCCAUCGAGGCCUUCCGCAACUGGGACCAUGGUGACUGAUAGCUUCCUCUCCGGCUGGAUCGACAGUCUAUCCACCCAAACAAGAGGGUCCUCAUGGAGAGUAUCCACAAGUCCGAGGCUGAGAAGGCAAGAGAGAAGACCCUCUCUGACCAGUUUGAUGCUUCAGUUUGAGGCCAAGCGUGCUAAGAGCAAGGCUAGCUAGCAGGGAGAGGAAUAUUGUGAGGAGGCAGGAGAGAUUGGCUCAGGGAAGAUGACUUUCACUUGAGCCCUGUCUAUUUCCUCACAUAGUUUGAUUUGUCCUGCAUUAUAUUGGUACUGAAAUACAUAAUGCGUGCACAUGUCUUCUGUUGGAUGUUUCAGAGAUGCUUAUGCAGGGUUUCUUUAAUCAUUUUGGUUCAUGGUACCAGCUAAUGAAAUUUACGUGCUCUGAUGAUGAAUUCGUGCCAUGUCGAGUUGGACUGGCGGUGGCGUAUUUUUCCUCUUGUAGUCAAAUUAGUGAGAUGCUCCGUUCUCUUCUUUAUGUGAACGUACAUGUAUGACCAGUGUAAUUAGGUGCAGUAGUUUUGGUCAAUGUCAAAGCAGAAGAGAGCUACAUGUAUGACCAGUAUUGAAUCACGGCGAGAGAGUAAUGUAGCUUCGUCCCUCCCUGAUGCUGCUAAUGCAAGAUGCAUAGGAAUCUUAUUCAAUAUCAAAAAUUGACAUACCGUGCAAUCAUGUCUAAUGUCUUUCAUUAAAUCUCCGCGGAGGUGCCGGCCGGCCGGUACAUAUGUUAGUGCAUCAUCUAUCUCAGACUCUCAGUCACAGCUAUCUAAUUGGUGUAUAUUCAUCUCCAAUUACAGCCUCAUAAUUUUUUGGACAUUCAUUUACAGCCCGAUCUACUUGGAUGUGCAGACCUGGGAGUUGGAACAAUUCACCAAGAGAAGCCAGUUCGUGUAUAACAGAAUGGGUGGAAUUUAUCAUGAGAUCCUACCCAAAUCCGAGUACUUUUCCAAGGCACUGUACACCUUCCAUUUCGCCCAAAACAAUCUCUCUGUGGGCUACUUCACCAAUAAGACUACCAAACAGAUUGAGGCCUAUGACCCCGAUCCGAAGGAGCGGUUCACUGUGGCAAUGCAGAUGCCCCGAGAAGAGGUAGUAGUGGUGGUGCGGGCGCGCCGUGGGCGAGGUGGGCUCCGGGUGUAGCGGCGGGGGCGGCUGCCCCAUCGAUGGCAGCGCGAUGCCCCCCGCCGUCGGGCCCACGCCACCGGACAUUGGCGGUGACCGGAGACUGUCGCGGCGAUUGUUGGUCGGUUGAGGAGCUUGCAACACGAGCUGGUAGCGCCAGCGUUGGCGAGAGAGUGAGGUGUCCCCAGUGCAGUAGGCGGGGGAAAGCUUAAGGCGACCGGUGCCCUCCGGUCCUCAUCGCUGCACGUCGAGGUCAAGUCUGAGGCUGCGAGCUGAUGCAUCCACAAACAUCAUCGUCGACUGCAUCUUCAACCUCCGGACGCCGCUUCCGUACACUGCUUCAUCAACCUCAGCCGUGACCCUUCCUCCCGGUCGCCGUGUUUAAUAUCCUACUCGUCUGCCGCCUAUCUCGAGCACCGCGAGCGAAGGUGGAUGCCCUGACUGCCGAUCACCAAGAAACUCCGCGGAAAGCUGCUGCAGAUAGGUGUUGUGCUGGUAUAUUCUUUCUGUAGCCUUUGUUCAGGUAAAUCAGACCAAGACUCGGAGACUAUAGAUAGCCACUCUUUUUUUACCAACCUUUGUUUUUGUUAAUAAUGAGUUUGACAAUGAAGUGACUACAUCUCCAUCUUUUCACCUUUGUUUCUACUGAGCUUCUCAAAGGUCCAUUCCUGUAAUAUUUUGGAGGACAUCUCCCAUUACAAUCGUUGGGGGUUUUCAAUUUAUGAGUAAAGUACACGAAGCUCCCUUACAAACCCGACAAAUCGUACUUCGGAAUCAUUGCAUUUUUCUUCAUCGGCUUCAUCACAUCAAACACGUAAGCAAAAGGCAAUAUAUAUACUACUGGACCCUGAAGCCCCAAAUCAUCUUCUGUUUUCUAUGUACUCCCAUGAUUAUUUAGCAAAUGCCAAAAAUAGUGUUUCUUUCAUGCGUACAUCGUUUCGUUUGGAGUUUUGCCCACUUGAUCUGAAUAUGAGGAAGGACAAAUAUCUUGUAGCAGAUCAGAUUCAGGUCAUGUCAUGAUUCCUUAAGGGCCUCAUUACUGGUGGUGUUUCUUUCUUCCAUGGUGAUUCCUAUUGUUCAUAGUUGUACUAGCAGGAUUAUCAUAACAACUAAGCAA